UCAAUCAAUUUGUAGGCAAUUAUUCAUAUUUUUGAACACAAAAAUCUAACAAAACGUAUAUAAACACUUGUUGCAGACUUUUGAAAUGAGAUUUCAGUAGGUAAAGUUUACAAUGAAAGGAUUUUUCUGUCUUUUGGGUGUGCUAUGUUUUGUGCAGGUGCUGCUUGCCGAUAAUGAGUCAAGUGUUACAUCUACGCUCACAAGUAGCGCGGAAAGUGAUGAAAUGGAAGGAAAAAUUCUGAAAAAGCCUAGGUGCAUUAUAAACAACGUACGCAAUUUGGUUAAAUCGGUCGAAACAGCUGCCCGAGAACUAGAUAAAUGUACUGAGGACUUAACCGGAAUACCACAAAUUGUUAAUGACCAAAUCCAGAAUAUUAAACAAAUGCUCCAGCAACUGAAAGCAAUGUUCGCCGCUCUUCAGAAGGUUAAUCUUUUUAAGUUCUUCAGGGAAGCACGUAGGAUCCUUCAGAACUUAGGCAGUUUUGCAGUGAACUUGACUACUAUCAUUGGAAUUGUUACCGAAUUAGACAAUCCUGAUAAUUCUGUGGGUCUACAAUGCGUUAAAACUCAAUUCCAAGCCCUUCGGGAACCAAUUAGAAAUUGGGACCGAUGCUAGUGCUACGAAAUGUGUUUGGAAUCGAUUUGAGCUAAAAAUAAAUCUCAUGCAGUACA